rnacentral:rRNA from 1 species
UACAGAGGUGGCAAGCGUUAUUCGGAAUUACUGGGCGUAAAGGGCUCGUAGGCGGCCCAACUAAGUCAGAACGUGAAAAUCCCCCAGGCUCAACCUGGGGAACUGCGUCUGAUACUGGUGGCUUGAAUCCGGGAGAGGGAUGCAGAUUCCAGGUGUAGCGGUGAAAUGCGUAGAUAUUGGGAGGAACACCAGUGGCGAAGGCGG